AUGACAAUGCAUUUCAAAUUAAGGGAGGUUGUUAAAAUUAGCCUGAAGUAUAUUAGUAAUAUCUGGUGAGAUAUCUUUCAUCCAUUCUCUCUUAAAUUAUUAGUAAAUAUUGUUUUUAUUUAUUUAUUCAUAAUCUAAUUUAUAGUCGCUUAUUAAAUGUUGAUUUUUAAGGUAUGCUUCAUAUGAAUUAAGCAAGUAACCAUUCCUUUUUACUUUUCUUUUUUGGAAAUAUAAUUAAAUUAAAUCUUUUUUUUUUUCUUGAGAAACAAAAUUGAAUAGUUAAAUUAAUCUGUAGAAGGAAAGUUGAAAAAAAAAAAAAAAAAGGGUGCCAAAACCAAAGAAAUUGAACCAAACUGUCAUUUACUGCUUUCCCACCAUUCACAUGCCACGUGUCGCUCAUUCCUUGGCUACAAUAUAUAUAAAUCCAAAAUCCCCCGAAAUCACUUGUUGUUUGCCUCAUUAUAUAUGUACCUUGUAUUGACGUUUCUCUAUUCUCAUACAAGCAGGGGCAUUCCCUGUAAUUACAUUCCACAUACAUGUCCUUUUCCGGUAUUUCGCUUUCCGAACUAGCCUUUACAAAAAAUUAGCUAACCCUAAAUUUUUACCCUUUUUUUUUUCAAUCGCCGCCAAUUGUCGGAUCUAGAUUCUUUCUCACCCAAAUUCGAUCUUGAUUUUCACUUUGAAUCCUCGAUUCGUUAUCGGAUUCGAUCGCUCCUCGCUAUCCUCUUCCGAUCGAUCCCAAUUUUAUCGCCAGCUACGGCUUCGAUCGAUUUCUAGGGUUAGGGUUUUCGAAAUUCUUUUUCGAUCUGUGUAUACGAUCUUAGAUCUGUGAAACCGUUUCUUCAACUAGGGAUUUUGGGUUCUGGGUCUUGUUUUUCUCCUUCAAUUUCUUCCGAUUUGUAUAAAAAUUUCGCGGUUUUUUGUUUGGGUUUCUGGGUUUGAUUCUUUUAGGGUCUGUUUGAUUCAUAGAUCUGUUCCGUUUCGGGGUUCUUCCUCUGGAAUCGUUGUAUUUAUUUGUGGGUUGGGUUCAAUUUUGGAGAUUUCGUUGAGUCUUUGAAGAUCUAGGGUUAGGGUUUGGAGAAAAUUAUUUAUUUCCUUGAAUUAGGUUGGGGAAAAGUGAAAUUUUUACCAUUAUUCACUAAAUUUGUCCAUUAAUUUAUCGUAAGCUUACUAUAAUUUCCCGAUCCAACGAUCCGAUAUAUCAUUUGGUGAAGACUGUUUCUUGAGGUAUAAACCAGUCCUUUUUUUUUUUUUUUAAUAAUAAUUCUGAAAAUUUAGCUUGCCAUUUCUAAUUAAUAAAAAAUAAAUAAAUAUCUGUUGUAAUUAUUUGGGUUUUUAUUUUUAUUUUUUGCAAUGAUCUUUAUUUAUUUAUUAAAUAAUUUAUCAAUUUUUUUGGUUUUAAAAUAGGAUUGCUAGUUAUAUUUACCAAAUUGCCCCUUAUUAUAGAUAGUGAACUAUUUAUGAAAGAGUUGCACAAGUCACUGGCCCCAUCUAUUUUUUUGAACAAUAAUUGAAAAUGAAAUUAAUAAAUUGAUUAAUAUAAAUAUCAUGUUAAUUCUUAUGGUUGUGAUGUCAACAUGUAGAUGCUUCAUGUAUGCAUUUUGAUGGCUUAUAAUAUAAUUCAUUGCAUGCCUUAGAAAAGGGUGUUUGGCAAUAGAGUUUAUCUAAUAAAUUGUAGUGAAACAGAAUAAUUUGCAAUUUCUUAUUUUGGUAUAUGGUCAUAUUUAGUUUCAGAAGAGUUCUUAGGAUGACUUUGCUUCAUAUGAAAGCAUAUACCAAUUGAAAGUUAGAAUGACUUUAUUCUUUAAAAAAAAAAGAUAAGAAAAGAAAAAGAAGCAUUAACCGAGCUUAGCUGUUAUGCAGUUCACAAAUAUCGUAAGUUAGAAUAGUUUAAAUGUUAGGCUUUGAAUGAGGCUCUAGAUUAUAACUACUGCUAUGUGAAGUGACAGAAAGUUCAAAAUUAUUUGGAUGAUUAUAAAAUGCUUGCUUAAGCGGCAGAGAAAUAGAGUACCCUGUACAGAUAGACACUUUAGAAUGUUACUAAGAGCAGUGUAUCUUCUAACUUAUUUUUAUCAAUGAUGGAUAGUUGUUUUUAAGUGAUGGAUAGUUGUUUUUAAGUGAUGCAAUGUAGAAAAUGUCUUAGUCUGGUUUCUUUUCUCUUUUGUAUCUUUUCAAUUGGUAAAAGCAAUGAAGUACAUCUUUUUUGUUAUUUUUUGGUAAAAUUCUCUCUCUUUGGUUGUUUUGUUCGACAACUUACAAUCAAACAGUAAUGUUACCAUUUUCUUUGUUUUGCAUUAACUUAUUUAAACUAUUUUAUGCAGUUAAAAAUGGUACAGAAAAGGCGUUUUGAUGAUGAUGAUGAUGAAAUAUUUGAGGUUUCUUCCAAGCUUCCAAGACAAUUGGAAGACAAUAAUCAGCUAGUUUCGUUUUCGGAAUCUGUUUUUCCUGGAAAUGCUUCCCAGUUCCCUCAAACAGUAGGUGAGGCAUUUAGUCUCUGUUAAUUUUGGAAUGCUUAAUGCGGGCUUCUUCAGUGUUCAUAGAGCCUUUAACAACCUGUCUAUAAAAAAUUAAAAAGAAACAAAAGGAGGCUAUGAUGUGAAGUGUAAAUAGGGAAUACUAGCUGUGCAAUUAUACACCCACCUAAUCUAAUUUGUGCCACUUGUUGUGUAUCUAAGUUUUACCUGAUUGUGUAAUCUCAAUCAUCUGACCUCUGAGCCACUCUCAAAUCAAAGUUCUUAUUCUAGCCACUUAAAAGUUUUUAAAUGAUUCUAUCUGUGGGAGCCCUCUAAGGGGUUGAACUUCACCAGUGGUCCCUCAUUGUCAAAUGACAUAAUUGUCUCUUCUUACCAAUUGGUUUGUCCUUUAUUUGUUAUAUUUUUAGUGAGUUUUUAGUUAUUUAUUUCCAGGUAAGCUUUUGUUUGUGCCUGGUUGGAAAUUUUGGAUCUUCAGAUUAAACAUUGUUCUGAACCAAUGCACGUUUGUCAUUAGUUUGACCAUUAGAAAGGUAGUGGUUAUAUGAAUACCAAGGUUCAUUAAAUGGGUUUUUUUUACUCGCCUCUUUGUUGAAUUUUCUAGAUCACUAAGUGAUUGGAUGAUUCCCUUUGUAAUUUUAAAUCAACACUCAUCAAGUUGUAAUGUGUAAUUGGUAGAGGGUGGAUUCCUAAAAGGCAAUAUUGAAGUUGAUGAGAAGCUCAGUGACAUUUUUACUGAUCUUCCAAGAAGUAGUGAGGACAAUGAAGCCAUUGUUCCUGCCUCCACUUCCAUCUCCUCCUGGGCAACCAGUAGUACAAGUGAAGAAGAUUUCCGGUCAGAGGCACCAGUUCAUGUAUCUUUUUUCCCAGAAUUUUUUUAUGCCGAGCGUCCUACAAAGACAUUAACUCACUGUGACGAUGCCUAUUCUAUACUUUUUGAUCAUCCUCCUCGGAAACCUGUUCCUACUGGACCCAACCAUCAAGCUGAUAUUCCAGCGUGGAGUUCACAGGACACCAAGAGCACUUCAACUCAUUUAGGCACACCUGAAGCAGUUUCAGACUCUGACCUCACUGUUAGGGAUGAAGAUGAGAAGAGACUGAUGGGGACCUGUGUCAUUCCAAUGCCUGAUUUGGAUUUAUCUGUGUGCAAUGGUGACAAUGUUGGUAAUGGUAGAAUUGAUUGCAGCUGUGAGGAUGGGGGUUCUGUUAGAUGUGUCCGACAGCACAUUACAGAAGCAAGAUAUAAUCUUAUGAAGAAUGUUGGGCAAGAAAUACUUGUGGAGUUGGGGUUUUCUGACAUGGGAGAGCAUGUGGCACAGAAAUGGAGUGAGGAGGAGGAAGAUUUAUUUAAUGAAAUUGUCUUCUCAAAUCCGGCAUCAUUGCACAAGAAUUUCUGGAAGAAUCUCCCUAGUGCCUUCCCCUCCCGAACCAAAAAGGAGAUUGUCAGUUACUACUUCAAUGUUUUUAUGCUUCAAAGGAGGGCUGAACAAAACAGAUGUAACCCAAUGAACAUCGACAGUGACAAUGAUGAAUGGCAUGGGAGUGAUGAUUAUAGUGACAAUGAACAUGUAGUGACAGAGGAGGAUGAGGAUUCUGCUGUUGAGUCUCCUUUAUGCCACGACAAUCCUGUUUAUGAUCGGAUCAGGGAGGAUGAUUUGCAAGAGUAUGAUGAGGAUUGUGCACAUGGAACUUGUGAUGAUGACAAAAAGGCAAAUGUUGUUAGUGGAGAGGGUGUCACCAAUAUUUCAGAAACAAACCCAAAUAAGUUGCUUGACAACUGUGGUUCCAGUCCCACAGUUCAGCUCCAGGAUAAAACUUCUUGGGAUGAAAGGGGAGAUGAGGAAGUCCAAGAUGAUUCAUGCUUGUCUUCGGACACUGGGGUUGCCUCGCAAGGAAUUCAGGCGAAGUCUGAAAAUGGCAGUCACUGGUCGAGUGGUGGUAGUGUUAACGGGUUAAGCAGUGGGGUUGGCCAUGAAUACAUCAUGGAGCCUUGUGACAAUAAAGUUUGGGAUGCUGGGUUUAUGACUUGCCCCAAGAAUAAAGUUGACUUGUUGCCAACUUGCAGCAUGAUUGAAGAGAUUUUUGGAGACGGAUCUUGGAAAUAG
rnacentral:sRNA from 1 species